rnacentral:pre_miRNA from 1 species
CUUGUUCUCCCUCCGUCCAAAAAUACUUGUCAUUGAAAUGGAUGUAUCUAGAUGUAUUUUAGUUCUAGACACAUCCAUUUUGAUGACAAGUAAUUCCGGACGGAGGGAGUACUUG